rnacentral:rRNA from 1 species
AGUGAACGCUGGCGGCGUGCCUAAUACAUGCAAGUCGAACGGAGUGGCGCACGGGUGAGUAAUAUAUAGCUAAUCUGCCCCUUGCUGGAGGACAACCGUUAGAAAUGACUGCUAAUACUCCAUAGCAAGGGAUGAGACUAUAUCGUAUCAGCUUGUUGGUGGGGUGAUGGCCUACCAAGGCGGUGACGGGUAGCCGGCCUGAGAGGGUGACCGGCCACAUUGGGACUGAGAUACGGCCCAGACUCCUACGGGAGGCAGCAGUGGGGGAUAUUGCACAAUGGGGGAAACCCGGACGAAGCAACGCCGCGUGGAGGAUGAAACUUUUCGGAGCGUAAACUCCUUUUGUUAGGGAAGCGGUACCUAACGAAUAAGCACCGGCUAACUCCGUGCCAGCAGCCGCGGUAAUAC